CCUACGGGAGGCAGCAGUGAGGAAUAUUGGUCAAUGGUCGGGAGACUGAACCAGCCAAGCCGCGUGAGGGAUGAAGGUACAGAGUAUCGUAAACCUCUUUUGUCAGGGAACAAAGGCGGGGACGUGUCCCCGGAUGAGUGUACCUGAAGAAAAAGCAUCGGCUAACUCCGUGCCAGCAGCCGUGGUAAUACGGAGGAUGCGAGCGUUAUCCGGAUUUAUUGGGUUUAAAGGGUGCGCAGGCGGUCUGUUAAGUCAGCGGUAAAAGCCCGGGGCUCAACCCCGGCCCGCCGUUGAAACUGGCAGUCUCGAGUUGGAGAGAAGUAUGCGGAAUGCGCGGUGUAGCGGUGAAAUGCAUAGAUAUCGCGCAGAACUCCGAUUGCGAAGGCAGCAUGCCGGCUCCACACUGACGCUGAGGCACGAAAGCGUGGGUAUCGAACAGGAUUAGAUACCCUUGUAGUC
rnacentral:rRNA from 1 species